UUUGAAGCCGUUCCGACUCUGAGGAAACGACUGGUGCUGGAAAACAGACACGCGGGGUCAAGAGGUCAGGGUCAGCCAAUGAGGAUCCGGUCUGGCCCAGGCAGGGCGAGUGCAGCUGGAGCCCAGAUGACCGGCAAGCAGUUGAGAGGUCAACACGAUAGGAAUGAGGAGGACAGGCCUGAGGAGGCACCAACCUCUUUGAAGAGCUUGACUGGGGCGGCUACAGCCUUCUCCUCUUCCAGUGCCUGCAAAUGGAACCAGCACUGCAUGGUAUGACACAUCCAGACUUGAAAUGAUGGUGACAAGGCUGGCCCUGCAACAACAGCACCGAGCACGCUCCUUACAGAGGGCAGUCUACAAAGAGGACAUCCAAGCAUCCGGGGGACACAACCAUAUACUCUCUUUCCUCACAUGCAAACCAACACAACAUGAUCAAUUCCUGGUUCUACUUCUGUCACUUCGAGCUAUAUUAAAAGAGCUUGGAGGUACAGCAAUACCUUCACACUUUUUGUACCAGGAACCUUGUAAUCAGAAAUAAAAUCCGUCUCCUUGCUUUCUUUGCAAGUAAUCUCGAGUGUCACAUGCUGAGCAGUCUUGUCUUAUAACCCUGGGAGUUUCCUUUAACAUCUUUACUUUUGAUGUGAUUAAACAUCACUUAUUUGAAAUGUAAACAUUCUCUGGUGCUUCAGGCUGGAAUUCUUCAGUCUGGCCUAAUGGAGAGGUUUGGAUAAGAAGGAUC